UCGAGAAUUUUUCUCAAUGGGCGCAAGCCUGAAGGAGCGACGCCGCGUGGGGGAUGAAGGGCUUCGGUCCGUAAACCCCUGUCAUUUGUGAACAAAGGCUAUGGGUGAACAGCUCAUGGUUUUGAUAGUAGCAAAAGAGGAAGGGACGGCUAACUCUGUGCCAGCAGCCGCGGUAAUACAGAGGUCCCAAGCGUUGUUCGGAUUCACUGGGCGUAAAGGGUGCGUAGGUGGCCUGGAAAGUUUGAUGUGAAAGCUCGGAGCUUAACUCCGAAAUGGCAUUGAAUACUUCCGGGCUUGAGGUUCGGAGGGGAGACUGGAAUUCUCGGUGUAGCAGUGAAAUGCGUAGAUAUCGAGAGGAACACCAGUGGCGAAGGCGAGUCUCUGGACGACACCUGACACUGAGGCACGAAAGCUAGGGGAGCAAACAG
rnacentral:rRNA from 1 species